AGCUCCAAUAGCGUAUAUUAAUGUUGUUGCAGUUAAAAAGCUCGUAGUUGGACCUGUGGUGGGAACGGUCUGUCCGCGCUCUGCGUGUGUCGUGACCAUUCCGGCCAUCCUCGGGGGGAAGCGUCUGGCAUUAGGUUGUCGGGCGGGGACUCUCGUCAUUUACUGUGAAUAAAUUAGAGUGUUCAAAGCAGGCUUAUGCCGUGAAUACAUUAGCAUGGAAUAAUGAUAUAGGACCUCGGUACUAUUUCGUUGGUUUGUGCACCGGGGUAAUGAUUAAUAGGGACAGUUGGGGGUAUUCGUAUUCCAUUGUCAGAGGUGAAAUUCUUGGAUUUUUGGAAGACGAACUACUGCGAAAGCAUUUACCAAGGAUGUUUUCA
rnacentral:rRNA from 1 species